AUUUCAUUUGAAAACAUCCGUAUAUGAGGCUUUCUAAAAACCGCUUCAACAACCUGGAAAUCUUCUUAAGAUAAGUUGUGAGUAAACAAUCUCAUAAUUACAGUUUCUUUAAGUGAAUGUUUGUAUUUGAUUUGAGUUCAGUCAAAAAUAUUAAGACAUAAAAAUAAACAAGCAGUUAAAAACAGAUGGUCUCCUUUAUUUAUCUGAGUUUUGAGGUAAAACAAUGUCAGUAAUUGCUAAUGUUAGCAAUGGCAACAGAAAACCAAGGGAAUGUUUUAGGGUGUGAAAAUUUCUGAUAACAAACAUCUUAACAGAAAAAAUGCAUGAGCAGACAGUGAUCUACAUUUAUUAUGCUAUUUAAAAUCCGGAGCUGAAAAUCAGAUUUUAUUUUGGCUGAAGAACUAAAGACAAUAGAAAUUUCUCCCAAAAGUUAAAAUAAAUCUUUGCAGAAUUACAGACAGUGAAAACCAAAGUCAUGAAUUUCCUUUUAUGUAUUUGAGUUCUUGUGAGUUUAAUCCAUUGUUAACUGAUGUCAUACAAACAGCUUUCCUCUCAGAAAAUGCAGUUUUCAGAUUCUCUCAGUGGGAUUAUUUGGAUCAACGUCCAUUUCUGCCUCCCUUUUACUUUCCUGCUUAUCACUUUGUGCUGCCUGGUGCGGUUGGAUGGUGCUCCGGUCUCCUACUGCAUGAACCUUCUGCUCUCUAAUCUAGUCCAGCUCAUCAUUCUGAUCGCUUUACCUCAACAUUCAGAUUAUCACUGGAAACAUCUGGACUCUGUUCACGUCUAUGCCUGCUGCAUUUUGGCCAGUCUCUACUUCAGGACGGUCAUAGCUCUGGAAAGGUGUUUUUUAAUUUCCUUCUCGCUGCAAUACAGUGUGACACAAACCAAAGGCUUGGUGAUCGUCUGUGUUUUGAUCUGGGUGUUCAGUUUUGGUUUGGGCCCUCUGUUUUUAAAGUUCCUUCAUGGACUGUUGUUCCUGGGUUUUGCGCUCCUUCCUGCUCCUGUGUUCAUUGUGUGUCUGCUUUGGACCCUCAAAUCGAUAAACACAAACUUAUCAGUGUCAUCUGAAGAAAAAGACAGAACUAUGGGAAUGCUUCUGGUUUUGCUGGUUAAUUACACCGUCUCAAUCUUCCCUGCAGUUAUUUAUUAUAUUUACUUAGGAGAUUUUAAUCGCUAUUAUUUUAAAAUUGCUGAUUUUUUUCUGACCCUGUUUCUCUUUGGUCCAUGUAUGGAUUUGUUCUUGUUUGUUUUCAUGUGCAAAGGACUUAUUGACAAGCUGCUGGUGUGUCUGUGCAGCUGCAGGAAGGAAACCAGUGAAGGAUCUGAUCUCAGCAGCUCAUCAGCUUGAAUACUGUAAAGAAAUACAUUUACUUUUAGUUUAAUAAAACAAACAGAUCCAAUUUAUAUGCAGACAUAUGGAGUCUGCAUAUAAAUCAUAUUCAUCUGACCAGGCAGAGAUUUGAAACCAUGUAAUAUAUUCAGCAGAGAAAACUGAUUUAAUUGAACUAUUCUAAAUGAUUGUGUGAAAUUCAACAACUUCUAUAAUAUUUUUAGAUUGUUGCUUUACAUUUUUAAAAGCUCCUUUGCCUUACAGGUUUCUGCUUUGGUCAAAAUUUACUGAUUUUUUUUUUAUUUUGAAGGAAAAAAAGUUAAUCAUGUGAAAUAUGAGUAAUGAAAUUGUGAUUGUGCCAUGCUAUAAAUAAAGAAUAUACUUGUUGUCACUCACUGUGUUGUGAUAUUGGUGUCACAAAUCUACUUAGAGGUUCGUUAUGCUUAAUGUUCUUGCUGCAUUUUGAUCAUUAUCUCUGUUUCCUGCCACAGAAGCACUGAAGAUACAGAGAAAACAUGUUUUUAUGGUAACAGAAACAUUUGAAACAUGCUCCCUCCGCUGUCUGGCUCCUUCACCACAUUUCCUCACAACAAGGAAAAAUUCAAAGCACCAAGAAAAGGUUUUCAUCAUGGGGGUCGCGACCCUGCAGGAGGGAUGUGAGACUUAUGAAUAGACAUUUUUGGUAUGUCUUCAUAAAAUCCAAGGUCACAUUAUUAAUCACACAUUGACAUCAAUCUAAUAUGUAACAGUUUUUAAAAAGAAGACUUAAAGUAACAAGUUUCAGACAGAAAAUCUCAAAUUCUUUGAGCAAAAUUCUGUUUAUUAUGAUAAAGUGUCUGCAUUAUGUUUGCACUGGAUGCAGAACUACAUUUUGUUCUUUUCAGUCACAUUAGUGGGUCAUAACUUUUAUAUUCAAGCUGAUGUCUAAGGGUUCUCGCUCUGCUUCUCCAUCAGUUAUGAUCCCAUAUGGUGUCUCUGAAAAACAUAGAACUUUGUGCCAAAGUUACUGGACUUUGGGACCUUUCACACUAAUAAACUGUAAAAAAAAACAAAAAAAAAACAUUUUUAUGCAGAAGGGUCUAAUAUGUAAAGAUGCAGAAUUUCUUAAAACAUUUCCUGCUGCAUUUUGAUCACUAUCUCUGCUUCCUGCCACUCAUCUCACCACACCGAAGCUCUGAAGGCAGUGAAGAAAAAAACUGCACAGUGAAGCAAAAAACAAAAAAACAAAAAGAUGAUGGUCCAAUGUACAACCGUGUGAAUGUUUGGUACGGAUGACAUUUCAGUGCAGCUGCUGGUGAAAUGUCUUUUUAACAUUUCUAACAUCGAACCAAUACGUCACGACUGCAGAUCUGUUCAUUUUAGAGGUUGGAUUGACAUCCUGGUAAAGAUAUUGUAAGUAAAGUAAUUAUUAAUUAUUGUCAUAUUUUUGAUUAAUAUUUUCUGACAAUUUAAAAAUCUAUUAAAUGAUUUUACUGUAACAGUUUUUAUUAAAUAUUUAUAUUAAAUAUUGUUGUAAAUUGUGUAAAUGUCCCAUAGUAGUACAUCAGAUGAAUGCAAGUCUUACUAAUGAUAUCAUGUCAAUAAGCAAUUAAAAUGCUUUCAUAAUUUUUAUUAUUUUUUACAACAGGAUUUUUGAGAAGUACAUACGAAGAAAUGGGAUUUGAAGUUUAUCUUAAUGUGAUGAUUUGGAUGGACGUCCGUGUUUGUUUCCCCUUCACUCUGCUGGCCAUCGGUUUGUGUCGCAUGGUUCAUUUUGACAACCUUCCUCCCAUCUACUACACAAACCUCCUCACCGCCAAUGCAGUCCAGCUCAUCACUCUGAUUGCUACUGUUGAAACAAAAGAUGGACGUUUUCCAAAUGCCGCAUGUCUCAUAAUCUACGGUGGUGUUGCGAUGGUCAGUCUGUACCUCAGGAUGAUCAUCGCCCUGGAAAGGUAACAACUCUUAAAAUCAUAACCAAUCAGGGUUGCAGAGUUUUGGCAGAGAUAUUAACAGAUUUUCUCUGUUUUGUGUUGCAGGUGUUUUUUCAUCAUCCAGCUGCCUUUCAUCAGACAAACUAAAUAUUCUUUAAUAAUCUGUGUUUCUGUCUGGGUUUUCUGCAUGGGGCUUUUUCCUCUUCUGGUAAUUUUUCGCUACUUUUCAGUCAUCUUUGUUUUUGCUCUCAUUCCUUCUAUCAUCUUCCUCUUGUGUCCACUCGGGGCCUUCAUAUCUCUGCCUAGAGCCGCCUCAGGAUCUCCGGAAGGAAAACGUAGAAUAAUUGCAACUUUUGUUCUGUUGCUGAUUAAUUACUCUGUAACAAUUGUCCCACCAGUUAGUUUUUUGACCUUUAGUUCAUAUUAUUAUUAUAUGUAUGAGGAAACACAGUUUUUUGUGACCUUGUUUCUGCUCAGUCCUUUCAUGGAUCUGCUUCUGUUCGUUUUCUUGCGUGAAGGACCCGUCGACCAGCUGCUGGCCUGUUUCUGCUGCUGCAAGAUGGAAACACCUGCAGUAAAAGAUGGCAGCAGAUUAUCUAUCUGAAA